GAUGAAGAACGUAGCGAAAUGCGAUAAGUAAUUUGAAUUGCAGAAUUCAGUGAAUCAUCGAAUCUUUGAACGCACAUUGCGCCCGUCAGUAUUCUGGCGGGCAUGCCUGUUCGAGCGUCAUUACGCCCCUCAAGUCCCCUGUGGACUUGGUGUUGGGGAUCGGCGAGGCUGGUUUUCCAGCACAGCCGUCCCUUAAAUUAAUUGGCGGUCUCGCCGUGGCCCUCCUCUGCGCAGUAGUAAAACACUCGCAACAGGAGCCCGGCGCGGUCCACUGCCGUAAAACCCCCCAACUUUUUAUAGUUGACCUCGAAUCAGGUAGGACUACCCGCUUAACUUAAGCAUAUCAAUAAGCGGAGGA
rnacentral:misc_RNA from 1 species